GUCGACUAGAUUUGUUCGUCUUAAGUAUCUUUGAUAUUUAGCUGUAUGAUCAUGAUCCUGUAUGGAUCAAUGAUUCAAUCAGUGAUUUAAUCUAAAUCCUAAAGAAUAAUCUAAAUCCUAAUAACGUGCGUUCACUUAAUCUAAGAUGAAAGAUGACGGAUCGCUUGAGUAAAUAUUACAACACAGAUAAAUUGCCUGCAGUUGGCGAUUGUCCAUCCAACGAACGAUUCCCAAGGGUGAGGAUUAACUACGGAAAUCGGCUGAAGCUUCUCCACGCUUCACACGUAAGUCCAUUGACGUCGAAAUGCGAUCUCGUUGCACUGAUGAAUCCAUCAGCGGCUUGAAAUUAUUUAUGACGAUUAAUCGUACGUACUCCGCUACUAAUUAAGUAAGAAGAUCAAGAGAUUACGAUGCGGCCACAAAAUCAUUGACCGUGGGUCCUUUUUUGCUUACUAACCUUGACGGGUAAAUAAUUUCAAAAAUGAUGAUUCAUUUGACAUUUUGGUACAUUCUUUCUUUUCUGAAAAUGGAAAAUUAAAUUUCUAAAAUUAAAUGGAUGAGUAAGUGAUUUCAAUUUUCAAUUAAAAGAAUUAUUGGAUUAUUGAUGAUUUUUAAUCAAUUUUGAAAUUUAAAAAUUUGAAAUUUUAUAUCGAGAGAUGAUUAGAUUAUUUAAAGAAAAAUUAAUAAGUGAAUAAAUUUCAAAUAAUAUUUUGAAAUAAGUAUUUUAUCGAUAAAAAGUAUGUAAAUGUUAUGUAAAAUUUUAAUCUCACCGUUAUUUAAAAUUAAAUAUGUAAUAUUUUUAAUAUCGAAUUUUAUAUCUGCUUAUAAAAUAUUUUCAAAUUGUAGCAAUAAAAUAAUUUAUUUAUUUAAAA